rnacentral:rRNA from 1 species
CCUACGGGAGGCUGCAGUGAGGAAUAUUGGUCAAUGGACGAGAGUCUGAACCAGCCAAGUAGCGUGAAGGAUGACUGCCCUAUGGGUUGUAAACUUCUUUUAUAUGGGAAUAAAAUGUUCCACGUGUGGGAUUUUGUAUGUACCAUAUGAAUAAGGAUCGGCUAACUCCGUGCCAGCAGCCGCGUUAAUACGGAGGAUCCGAGCGUUAUCCGGAUUUAUUGGGUUUAAAGGAAGCGUAGGUGGAUUGUUAAGUCAGUUGUGAAAGUUUGCGGCUCAACCGUAAAAUUGCAGUUGAAACUGGCAGUCUGGAGUACAGUAGAGGUGGGCGGAAUUCGUGGUGUAGCGGUGAAAUGCUUAGAUAUCACGAAGAACUCCGAUUGCGAAGGCAGCUCACUGGACUGCAACUGACACUGAGGCUCGAAAGUGUGGGUAUCAAACAGGAUUAGAUACCCCAGUAGUC